AAAACAACCAGGUUCAGGUGAGAAAGUAUAAGAUAAGCCUUUAACAUUACCCCACUGCACUGAACAGCAACCCCAUAUUCACAUAUGUUAUGAAUAGGUGAAUUUAUAACCUUUGGUAGCCUACACAUACAUUCUCUGUUGAUUAGUUGAUUACAUUUGCCUUCUGGUUGACAGCACAAAGGAGUGAGGAGAAUAGAGAGAGAGAAGGGCAGAGAGAGCAAGAUGAACAAGUGAUAUGACGGAGGGAGGGGGAUAGAGGGAGAGAGCAGGAUGGAGAGAGAGUGAACAAAGAGAGGGACCUGGAAGAACCAGGUGAGAAAGUGGAUAUAUAUUAUACGGGCAAAAACACUUAAAAUAUUCCAUUCACAUUAUAUUUACAUAUGCAUUUCAUGGAGGACUAGGCUCUUAAGAAAAAGAGAUGUUGUAUUUUCCCCAUCUGGUUCAGAGGCAUUAUUAGAUUAGAU